rnacentral:rRNA from 1 species
AUUGAACGCUGGCGGCAGGCCUAACACAUGCAAGUCGAACGAGUGGCGGACGGGUGAGUAAUGUCUGGGAAACUGCCUGAUGGAGGGGGCUAACUACUGGAAACGGUAGCUAAUACGGCAUACCAUCGGAUGUGCCCAGAUGGGCUUGGCUAGUAGGUGGGGUAAAGGCUCAUCUAGGCGACGAUCCCUAGCUGGUCUGAGAGGAUGACCAGCCACACUGGAACUGAGACACGGUCCAGACUCCGAAGGGAGGAAGCAGUGGGGAAUAUUGCACAAUGGGCGAAAGCCUGAUGCAGCCAUGCCGCGUGUAUGAAGAAGGCCUUCGGGUUGUAAAGUACUUUCAGCGGGGAGGCGUUACCCGCAGAAGAAGCACCGGCUAACUCCGUGCCAGCAGCCGCGGUAAUAC